GAACCAGGCAAACAUAGGGAUCGGAUUAAAAGAAGGGUGUGCUGCAUAACUUUUGAUUUAGAGAAGAAAGGAAGAGGGGAAGCACCACAACAGAAAUGAUACUUGAAAAAAAAAAACCCAGAUAGCUUGAAAUUAUGAGUAAGAAGAUAGACCACCUCCAAGAAAAGUCUAAAGAGUCCAAGAAAGUAUGCAAUGGACUCUGAGUGGAUGAACCAUGGACCAAGUUUUUGUUUUAGUGGACAAAUGGAGAUGGACAGCUAAAGGAGAAGGGCAAUCGACCAUGGACUGGAGACCUCAGGUUCUGUUCGACAGCAGUGCUGCAUUUCAUAUACAUGGAGCUGUACCUUGUAAGGAUGACCCAUNGACAAGACUGUGAAGAAAGAUGGAAUGAAGAACUUCCUCCUGGUUCCAGCUAAUCACAGUUUACUGAGGCACAAGUCUGUUCACCAAUGAGACCCAUUACUCUGAAUGUGUCAACAGUGUCAGAGUAUCCACAUCCAGGUAUGGACAUCAUGACUCUGAGUUCAUUGCAAUGUGUAGAUUUGACCAAAUAAAAGAAAUAUUCUGUACUUUAAAA
rnacentral:lncRNA from 1 species